rnacentral:misc_RNA from 1 species
UCUCCGUAGGUGAACCUGCGGAGGGAUCAUUACAGAGUUCAUGCCCUACCGGGUAGAUCUCCCACCCUAUGUUAUUAUUACUUUGUUGCUUUGGCGGGCCGUUAGGCUCCGGCCCGACUACCGGCCCCGGCUGGUAAGCGCCCGCCAGAGGACCCAAAACCCUGCAUAGUAGUGUCGUCUGAGUACUAUAUAAUAGUUAAAACUUUCAACAACGGAUCUCUUGGUUCUG